rnacentral:lncRNA from 13 species
AGGACAUCAGUCAGCCAUCUACAAUCUAGAGGACAUCAGUCAGCCAUCUACAAUCUAGAGGACAUCAGUCAGCCAUCUACAAUCUACAGGACAUCAGUCAGCCAUCUACAAUCUAGAGGACAUCAGUCAGCCAUCUACAAUCUAGAGGACAUCAGUCAGCCAUCUACAAUCUACAGGACAAUAACCAGCCAUCCACAAUCUCUCUGUGUGUGUAGCUAUGAGGGGAAUUGUCCUUCUCUUUCUGCUGUCUCUCUGGCCUGGAGGCAACGUGGAUGCUAUCAAUCAAGAGGUCUUGGCUAAUGUGGUACAAGAGAUGAGAAGGUUCGGCCUGGAGAACCGCCAGUAUGCCAUGGCUGUCUUACUCACCCAAAAGCAGUGUACCCAAAAUGGAGCAAUCUUUGAUGUAGGCGUGCAACCUCAGGUUGUCCAGAACACACUUAAUGGUAACAAGGUCUACACAGGAAACCGGCUCAUCGCAGCCACACCUCUUGCAACAUCUCUUUACAUAGACCAUGCUGAGUACCGUCUCUUGAGUGGUGGUACUAACAACUUCAGCCCAAUGCAGACUCUGAUAAACAAUGCUGGUAGUAAUGCUGGUCAAUGCAUCGUCUUCUUCUCCACCUACUCUCCCUGCCUGGAGAAAUGCAACGUCCCUAAUGGACAAUACAAUAUUCUCCAAUUCAUGAACGUCUUUCAAGUCUUUGACAACAACCGGAAGGCCUUUGUCUUCUCCUCGGUUUGGGACCCUUCAAGGAACCAUCCAGGAGUGACCAACCCCGAUAGGGAGUGGGUGGUUGCCUCAUUCCAGAGAAUAGAAAGAUACCUCCCUUUAUAUCGUUGUGGCAGAUUCAAGGAAAACAAAAAAUGGGUCAACAGAUGUUACCAUUGUGUCACUAAUCCAGAUGACUGCUAGUGUACACUGUCUGUAUGGGUACUAAUAGUGUACACUGUCUGUAUGGAUACUAAUAGUGUACACUGUCUGUAUGGAUACUAAUAGUGUACACUGUCUGUAUGGAUACUAAUAGUGUACACUGUCUGUAUGGGUACUAAUAGUGUACACUGUCUGUAUGGAUACUAAUAGUGUACACUGUCUGUAUGGAUACUAAUAGUGUACACUGUCUGUAUGGAUACUAAUAGUGUACACUGUCUGUAUGGGUACUAAUAGUGUACACUGUCUGUAUGGAUACUAAUAGUGUACACUGUCUGUAUGGAUACUAAUAGUGUACACUGUCUGUNNNNNNNNNNGAGACUGUUUUAACAGAGCUCUGAGAGACCAGCAGGAGGAGACUGUUUUAACAAAUCAAAUCAACUCAAAAUAAUUUAUAUAGCCCUUCGUACAUCAGCUGAUAUCUCAAAGUGCUGUACAGAAAGCCAGCCUAAAACCCCAAACAGCAAGCAAUGCAGGUGUAGAUGCACGGUGGCUAGGAAAAACUCCCUAGAAAGGCCAAAAGCUAGGAAGAAACCUAGAGAGGAACCAGGCUAUGUGGGGUGGCCAGUCCUCUUCUGGCUGUGCCGGGUGGAGAUUAUAACACAACAUGGCCAAGAUGUUCAAAUGUUCAUAAAUGACCAGCAUGGUCGAAUAAUAAUAAGGCAGAACAGUUGAACAAAGCUCUGAGAGACCAGCAGGAGGAGACUGUUUUAACAGAGCUCUGAGAGACCAGCAGGAGGAGACUGUUUUAACAGAGCUCUGAGAGACCAGCAGGAGGAGACUGUUUUAACAGAGCUCUGAGAGACCAGCAGGAGGAGACUGUUUUAACAGAGCCCUGAGAGACCAUCAUUUUCUAUAUAAUAAUAUAAUAAUUUAUAUUUUAGAUUCUUCAAAGUAGCCACUCUUUGCCUUGAUAACAGAUUUGCACACUCUUGGCAUUCUCUCAACCAGCUUCACCUGGAAUGCUUUUCCAAUAUUCUUGAAGGAGUUCCUUCAUAUGCUGAGCACUUGUUGGCUGCUUUUCCUUCACUCUGCAGUCCAACUCAUCCCAAACCAUCUCAAUUGGGUUGAG